GAUGAACGCUGGCGGCGUGCCUAAUACAUGCAAGUCGAGCGAACGGACGAGAAGCUUGCUUUUCUGAUGUUAGCGGCGGACGGGUGAGUAACACGUGGAUAACCUACCUAUAAGACUGGGAUAACUUCGGGAAACCGGAGCUAAUACCGGAUAAUAUUUUGAACCGCAUGGUUCAAAAGUGAAAGACGGUCUUGCUGUCACUUAUAGAUGGAUCCGCGCUGCAUUAGCUAGUUGGUAAGGUAACGGCUUACCAAGGCAACGAUGCAUAGCCGACCUGAGAGGGUGAUCGGCUACACUGGAACUGAGACACGGUCCAGACUCCUACGGGAGGCAGCAGUAGGGAAUCUUCCGCAAUGGGCGAAAGCCUGACGGAGCAACGCCGCGUGAGUGAUGAAGGUCUUCAGAUCGUAAAACUCUGUUAUUAGGGAAGAACAUAUGUGUAAGUAACUGUGCACAUCUUGACGGUACCUAAUCAGAAAGCCACGGCUAACUACGUG
rnacentral:rRNA from 1 species